GACGAACGCUGGCGGCGUGCCUAAUACAUGCAAGUAGAACGCUGAAGCGAGGAGCUUACUCUUCUUGGAUGAGUUGCGAACGGGUGAGUAACGCGUAGGUAACCUGCCUUGUAGCGGGGGAUAACUAUUGGAAACGAUAGCUAAUACCGCAUAACAAUGGAUGACACAUGUCAUUUAUUUGAAAGGGGCAAUUGCUCCACUACAAGAUGGACCUGCGUUGUAUUAGCUAGUAGGUGAGGUAAUGGCUCACCUAGGCGACGAUACAUAGCCGACCUGAGAGGGUGAUCGGCCACACUGGGACUGAGACACGGCCCAGACUCCUACGGGAGGCAGCAGUAGGGAAGCUUCGGCAAUGGGGGCAACCCUGACCGAGCAACGCCGCGUGAGUGAAGAAGGUUUUCGGAUCGUAAAGCUCUGUUGUAAGUCAAGAACGGGUGUGAGAGUGGAAAGUUCACACUGUGACGGUAGCUUACCAGAAAGGGACGGCUAACUACGUG
rnacentral:rRNA from 1 species